AUUGAACGCUGGCGGCAUGCCUUACACAUGCAAGUCGAACAGCAGCACGGGUGCUUGCACCUGGUGGCGAGUGGCGAACGGGUGAGUAAAGCAUCGGAACGUACCAUUGAGUGGGGGAUAACGUAGCGAAAGUUACGCUAAUACCGCAUAUUCUCUCCGGAGGAAAGCAGGGGAUCGUAAGACCUUGCGCUCUUUGAGCGGCCGAUGUCGGAUUGGCUAGUCGGUGGGGUAAAGGCCCACGAAGGCGACGAGCCGUAGCUGGUCUGAGAGGAUGAUCAGCCACACUGGGACUGAGACACGGCCCCGACUCCUGCGGGGGGCAGCAGUGGGGAAUUUUGGACGAUGGGGGCAACCCUGAUCCAGCCAUGCCGCGUGAGUGAAGAAGGCCUUCGGGUUGUAAAGCUCUUUCGCGAGGGAAGAAAACGUGCAGGUUAAUACCCUGUAUGGAUGACGGUACCUUGAUAAGAAGCACCGGCUAACUACGUGCCAGCAGCCGCGGUAACAC
rnacentral:rRNA from 1 species